UAUUUCUGAGAAUUUCUUGAUGACUCUCUUAACUUAAGCAUAUCAAUAAGAGAAGGAAAAGGAAACAACAGUGAUUCCUGUAGUAAUGGCGAAUGAACUAGGAGAACCACUAACACUGAUUAAGACUGCUUGUCAAUGAGGAGGAAAACUUUUUCAUUAAAGUUUAAAUUUUCAAGAGUAGGAAGAAAAAGUGGCUAUAAAGAGAAGAGUAAAAAGGGACCUGAAAGAUUUUGAUUAAUCUUUUAUAAAGAGUGAAGAGCUUGUAGGGGAGAAUUUUAGUCUUUAGAAAAUAGUGAAGAGGAGUAAAUUUAUUUGGAAGUAUAGAUUGAACGAGUCAUAGUGUCGACUGAAUGGGAAAUACGACGAGAAAACUGAUAGCGAAGAAGUACUGUGAAGGAAAUUAGAAAAGGACUUAUGAGUAAGAGUGAAAAGACAGUGUAAAAAUUAUCAAGGGAACGGAUUAUUUUCAAUACCGUUCCUGGAAAGGAGGGGGAGGCUGGAUUUUUUUUCAUAAUUUGACGAAUGAGGAAUUGGAUUCAUAUACCCCUGAAUGGAAAGGGACUAGAGAUUGACAAGAAUGAGAUACCACAUGGUAGCGGGGUGGAUAAGAGAUUUUUCAACUUGGAGUGCUAGGAAAAUAGGUGCGAGAGAGAGAAAUACUACGAAGAUAAGAGUGAUAAGAAUGCAAAAUUGUAGAGUUAGUAGGGCGGAAAUAAUCUGCCCGUCUUGAAACACGGACCGAGGAGUCUAACAUUGGAGCGAAUAGGAAGGGAAGAAAACCCAGAUAUGAAGCGAAAACGAAGGACUAAACAUAUAGCAGGAGUGACCUAGAAAAGGCUAGAGUUAAACUGUUGGGACCCGAAAGAUGGUGAACUAUGCUUGUGGUGUUUGAAGCCGAAGGAAACUUUGGUGAAAGGACUUAGGAGUGUUAACGUGCAAAUUACUUGCAAUAUAUGAGUAUAGGGGCGAAAGACUAAUCGAACUAUCUAGUAGCUGGUUCCACCUGAAUAUUCCCUUAGGAAGGUUGAAGUGAGAAAGUAGUGACGAUUGGUAAAGAUAAUGAUUGGAUGUAAUGGAGAGCUUGACUUUUCAACAUUUUAACAAACUAUGAAUAGUCGAGAUAUCCUAAACGAUAAACAUUUAUUAGGAGUGAGCAUAUGCGGACUUCAAAUCGGCCAAGUCUGGUAAGCAGGACUGGCGAUGCGGGAUGAACCGAACAUACAGAUAAAGUAUCCAAGUCUUGCAUGAGGAGAACCAUAAAAGGUGUUCAUUCAUAUUGACAAUAGGACGAUGGCCAUGGAAGUUGGAAAUCGCUAAGGAGUGUGUAACAACUCACCUAUCGAAUGGAUGAGCCCUGAAAAUGGAAGGUAUUAUAAUGAGAGAGAGUGAUACUGUAUCCUUGUGGAGGCUGAGGCACACGAGGAGUAAGGAAAUGCAUGGUGUCAAGAAUACGUGAGUGAUAAAGGUAGAGAAGUAAUUUCUAUUGAAACAGACUUGAGUACAGAUCUUGGUGGAAGUAGCAAAUACUUAGAAGAGGAAAAAAAUAUCUAAGGACUGAAGAGGAGAAAGGUUCCUAGACAACAUUAAUUGGAAUAGGGUGAAUCGAUCCUAAAAGACGGAUGUAGAUUUAUUAGAAGAAACUGAGCUUGAAAAAGCGUUUACGCAUGAAAGGGAAAAAGACUAAAAGUUCUUUAUCAAUAGUCAAAAAGUCACGAAAAAAGGACUGAGAAAGUGGUAACAGGGGAUGAACUUUGGUAUGGGGUAUGACGGUAGCGACAAGAGAUCUCUUUUCUUGUUAACACGGAGGAACGGGCAUUGAAAUGAAUCAAUCAGAGGUAUGACUGUUAUACCCAUGGAAGAAACAGGGCGGUAGUUUUGUUAGUGUACUGUGAAACUCUUCAUAAAACACGAAGGGAAACUGAUAAUAGGCGGCGAUUGAUCGUACUCAUAACCGCAACAGGUCUCCAAGAAUAAUAAUCUUUAGUUGAAUAGAAGAACGUAGGUAAGGGAAGUCGGCAAAACAGCUCUGUAAGUUAGCGAGAAAGAGUAGCUCUGAUGAAGACCAGUAAUGGUAAGAAUUUUGAUCAGAACUUUUAAGAUUAGGGGAAUCCGACUGUUUAAUAAAAACAUAGCAUUGUGAGAAAUAGGAAAUGUUCAUAACACAAUGUGAUUUCUGCCCAGUGCUCUGAAUGUCAAGGUAAUGAAAUUUACUUAAGCGCGGGUUAACGGCGGGAGUAACUAUGACUCUCUUAAGGUAGCCAAAUGCCUCGUCAUCUAAUUAGUGACGCGCAUGAAUGGAUCACCGUGAUUCCCACUGUCCCUAUCUACAAUCUAGUGAAACCACAGUCAAGGGAACGGGCUUGAUGAGAACGGCGGGGAAAGAAGACCCUGUUGAGCUUGACUCUAAUCUAUCUAGUGGAAUCGAUUUUUUGGUAUAAGCUAGGUGGGAGAGUAAUCGGACGUGUAAUACCACUACUUAGGAUACAAUUUCACUCACGUUAAGUAGCGAAAAAAAUAAUAAUUUGUAUUGAGAUGUGUUAAACCCUGUGGGUAAUUCGAGUAACAGACGAAGAUAGACAGGGAGUUUGGCUGGGGCGGCACAUCUGUUACAUGAUAACGCAGGUGUCCAAAGAUGGACUCAAAGAGGACAGAAACCUCUUGUUGAACAUAAGGGUAUAAGUUUAUUUGAAUAGUGAAACCAGUAAUUGUACUAAAUCUGAAAUGAAGGCCUAACGAUCCCUAAGAAUUUGCUAUGACAAAAAGAAUCGAGUAACUUAAAAUGCUAUGAAAAUUAUAAGGUGUCAUAGUCCUUUGACAAUAAGGUUUGGGGUGUCAGAAAAGUUACCACAGGGAUAACUGGCUUGUGGCUGCCAAGCGAUCAUAGCGACGUUGCUUUUUGAUCCUUCGAUGUCGGCUCUUCCUAUCCAUUUUAAGCAGAAUUGAAAAAUAGUAUGAUUGUUCACCAUUCAAUAGGGAACGUGAGCUGGGUUUAGACCGUCGUGAGACAGGUUAGUUUUACCCUACCGUUUUUAGGUAGUAUUUUCUGGAGUAAUUUAAUAGAAGUGUAACUCAGUACGAGAGGAACCGUUACAUCAUGCCUCUGGAUUAUUCAAUUAUUUGACCAAGUAGUGUUGACAAUCUAACCCAUGUUAAAAUAAUGGCUGAAAGCCUCUCAAGCCAGAAUUUUGCCUAAAACUGACUACUCUACCAAUUUUUACUGACAAAUUUUCAUAAAAUAAUUUGAAAAACACACUUAAAAUUAAAAUUAUAGGCUAUCCUUAACGAUUUUUUUUCUUGAGAUACCUAUUUCUAUCAUAUACCAACCGAAAAUUUUGUUAAUCAUGAUAGACGAUCAACAUUUACAACGGAGGUUUGUAAGUGUAUAAGUUUCUUGUUGGAUUUUGUUCUGAAUUUGUUACGAGCCACUGAGAAUUUUCUCUCGUUGGGGAAAAAGGU
rnacentral:ncRNA from 13 species